UUGAGAGUUUGAUCCUGGCUCAGAACGAACGCUGGCGGCAGGCCUAACACAUGCAAGUCGAGCGCGCCUUCGGGUGAGCGGCGGACGGGUUAGUAACGCGUGGGAACGUACCCUUUUCUGCGGAAUAGCCUCUGGAAACGGAGAGUAAUACCGUAUACGCCCUUUGGGGGAAAGAUUUAUCGGAGAAGGAUCGGCCCGCGUUAGAUUAGAUAGUUGGUGGGGUAAUGGCCUACCAAGUCUACGAUCUAU
rnacentral:rRNA from 1 species